rnacentral:rRNA from 1 species
AAUGAACGUUGGCGGCGUGGAUUAGGCAUGCAAGUCGAGCGAGAACCGUAGCAAUACGGGGACAGCGGCGAAAGGGACAGUAAUGUGUAGGCACCUACCCCCGGGUUCGGGAUAGCUGCGGGAUACUGCAGGUACUACCGAAUAAUGUCUUCGGACCAAAGGUGUGAUUCCACCUGCGGAGGGGCCUGCAUCCUAUUCGGUUGUUGGUGGGGUAACGGCUUACCAAGGCGACGAUGGGUAGCGGGUGUGGGAGCAUGACCCGCGUCAGUGGGGCUGAGACACUGCCCAGACACCUCCGGGUGGCUGCAGUCGAGGAUCUUCGGCAAUGGGCGCAAGCCUGACCGAGCGACGCCGCGUGCGGGAUGAAGGCCUUCGGGUUGUAAGCCGCUGUCGUAGAGGAGGAAAUGCAGGAGGGCUCUCCCUUCUGUUUGACCUAUUCUAGGAGGAAGUACGGGCUAAGUUCGUGCCAGCAGCCGCUGUAA